CCCGGAGCCGCAAGGCCGGGCCAGGCCUUGAACCCGAGUUCCUGUCCUCUGGCUCGGCGGAGGAGACUGGGAGUGCAUCAGCGCCGCAGAACCUCUCUCCCAGCUCUCCGAGGCCAAGCCAACUUGGGAGACCCCUCGAGGGGUCAGUGAGGUCAUUGGCGGACCGGAGGGGCCACAGUGGAGGAGACUGAGCCUCGGUUCCCGGGCUUCAUCCCUGCAAGUCCCGAGUGCGAAGCUGAGGCCGCUGAUUGCAUCUCUUCGGCGGCGUCCUCUGGGCUGGCUGUUAGAGACCAGAGAGGAAGCAGCCCUGGGCUCUCUUCAGAUGUCUCAGGGGUUGGGGUGAAGACUCGUCCACCAAAAGUGGAAGAAGCCGAAGCUGAGGAGUCAUGUCCCCGUAACUUCAGGGAAGGCGCUUCACUCCUCAAGCCUGUUUCUGCAUCAGACUACCUGCCAAUUACCCACCUCGAGGGGUCAUCAGAGAUCGCUGAGCCCUGCCAGAGGGUGCAUGGCCACGUGGGAGACAACUCAGAGUGCUUGCCACAGAUACCACGGAACACCGCUCUUCCUUUUGGUGACAAGUCACACUGCUGGUGA
rnacentral:lncRNA from 1 species